GCACUGCUGAAGAGUCUCAUAAUAGGACGAAACGGCCGUCCAGUGC
rnacentral:hammerhead_ribozyme from 1 species